UCUUAUGGUGUUGGUUUUAUAUGAAAGCAUGUGCAAGAUAUUCCUAGAAUAUCUGAUUAAGAUUAGGUUGACUUUGGGGUCAUGCUUUGCAGGGUUGACAUCCUAUGAUUAGGGGAACUUACUACGCUCUGCCCUUCUUUGUUUUUUGUUCAUGGUUAUGUAGACAGGCUGAAGCCCAUCUUGCCCUAUUGAUUUAAUCAGUAAACUAGAAUUCGUCCCUGUGAUCUUUUGUGGUCAGCCACGCUUUGUUCAUUCUGCAAUUCUUUGAUAGAACGCUGCUGAAAUCACUUCAAGUCGCCACAAACAGGUGAUAGCUAGCGGCACCCCGUCACAAUAUGGCAUGUUACCAGUAACAAGGUAUUCAGCCAGUGAAAGCGAGUAAAGUCAUCUUCAUAUUGAAAUGGCUUGCUGAGAAGGAGAGUGGAAGCAGCUGGAGGAAGGGUCAUAGAUUGGAAUGGAUCCCGUGUCCUAGGCGUGCUUGCUACAUUGAGGUCAAUGGGUAUGUGGGACUGAACUUGAUGAUGAAGAUCAAAUUAGUGAGCGAACUUCUAAAAUUCUUGCCGCGCAUCAUGCCAACUCCUUGGACUGGAUACGUGGAGGGUCAAAGGGGAUAGAAGGCGUGGUAAAGGCUCUGGUAGGAAGUGUGGUCUUUUGGGAAAUAACUUCACAGUUGCAUUGAUGGUGCAACUACGGGAUCCUUUGCGGAAUUAUGAACCGGUCGGUGCACCAAUGCUUGCGCUAAUUCAGGUCGAGAGAGUGUUUGUUCCACCAAAGCCAAGGAUUUACCUCAAGGUUUCUGAAGUAAAAUAUGAGGAUGAAGAGGAUGAGUCAGCCGAGUCCAUAAAGAAGGAAGAAAUUAAGGAGGGGACAGAAGAAAAAAAUCUGAGGUGGAAGAAAUUCCCCAGUAUAACAUUUCUGAAGUCCAUGUUGCUGGUCUCAAGACUGAUCCUGGGAAGAGAAAGGUCUGGGGAAGUUCAAACCAGCAACAAUCUGGUUCCCGUUGGUUGCUCGCUAAUGGAAUGGGGAAGAGCAAUAAGCAUCCGUUCCUGAAGUCAAAGACUGCUUCUUCUAAAUCUACUGCCCCAGCAACAACUAAGGCACAGCCUGGUGACACACUGUGGAGCAUCUCAUCCCGUGUUCAUGGAACUGGUGCUAAAUGGAAGGAAUUGGCAGCUCUUAACCCACACAUACGCAAUCCCAAAAUUAUUCUCCCAAAUGAAACCGUCAGGUUGUGUUAAGUUGGGGUUGUGAAACAGAUCUUCUUGAAAGAGGCUAGGUUUGCCAAGCUGGGUUGAGUGAAGUUUAUGAGUUACAUUAGUUGUGGGCUUGCUGAUCGAAACCACACAUUGUGGUUGUCUAAGAAAGAUGAAAGUGCUGGCUCCUGCCUUUGAGAACUCUCUUACCUUCCCAAUUGUUAUGGACUGAUUGUCACCAGUCUAAGGUACAAAAGAUCUGUCUAUGCAAUUGUUUUCAUCUCUCUUCUUCCAUCCCCUGUAAUCAGUUUGCAUAUGAACAGUAAUUUUUUGUGUUUUGUUUGGGAUGAUACGCUACCAA